CUUAAAUUCAAAUUUUCAAUUUAAAAUUUAAAAUCUAAAUUUGAAAUUUAAAAUUUAAAAUUUGAAUAUUUGAAAAUUAUUUGAAAAUUUAAAAUUUAAUUUUGAAUUUUAAAAAUUUGAAAUAUGUAAUUAGAAAGUUACAACUUAUAUUUUAAAUUUUAAAUAUUAGAUUUUAAAUUUGAUUCUAAAAUUUUUAAAUAUAAAUUUUAUCUUAAAUUUUAAUUUGAAAUUUUAUUAUUUUGAAGUUAAAAUUUUGAAAUUUCAAAUAUAAAAAUUAAAAUGCAA
rnacentral:lncRNA from 1 species